rnacentral:lncRNA from 1 species
AGCAUUUUCCCGAUCCAAGUACUCUCACAGCCUGCUCUAGGGACUGGAACUUAAGAGCUCUAACGUGGCUCACCAAAUGGAAGGUUUGUGUUAUCUCUUUGUUCAAUUUGUUUUUUUAAUAAAUUUACUUCUCUCACUGAUUUGAUUGAUUGUCCAAAACGAAGACAUGCUUUCUUACACGCAAGAGAAAGAUCAGAUUCCUCCACUGCAUGAUUAAAGCAAUGACUGCAGCAUCUCCAAUGAUCCUAUCAAGUUAUCAUUUUUGCCAUUGCUGCAGGAACUACUCCACACUAUUCAAAUGAAUGAGUGCAUGCUGCAUAGCAUUUUCCCCAUCCAAAUACUCUCACAAUCUGGUUAAACACUUAUCCAUGUAUACCUGCAAUAAUUUUUCUAUCGGCUAUUGUCAUCUUGCAUUGGUUUGUUGCAUACAAAAAAGUAGAGGGUAGAUGGAACUCAUGCACCCAAUUGGUGGGGUCCAAAAACACAAAGUUCCUUUGAUGCUUCAUGCGUAGUCAACUUGCACAACAGAUGAAAGCUACUGAAAGGGUAUAUUCUGAGUCAAGAACCUUAUGAAUGAUGGAACCAUUUGUGCUGCACAAUGCUUCUCGAACAAAUGAUACUCUCUGGUUCACCUUUCAAAAGGUAUCCUUUAGUAACCCAUGCAAUAAUGAUGCAGUAGAAACUUCGUUUCUUGCCAGGAUUGCUAAGUGUUAUAGUGUUGCUUAAAACAUAUGUUGGCUUUGUGCAUCUUUGCAUCUGAUGACAUAGUUUCAACAUGUUGUAGCUCUGCAUGCAAUUAAAUAUCAGAGGCUCUUAUCUUUGAAACCUUUCACAGGUUUCAUGUUUUCUGUCUAAUCUCAGUUUGGAGUUUGAUGGAGUCAUUCACUCAUUAGAUUAUUUUAGGAACUAGUUGUUUUCAUGGUAACACUCGCUUCAUUAGUGAGAUCACAAGCCAGGCCUCACAAUGCAGAAUUCAUUAGUUAUGAUGACAUGACAACAAGAAUUUCAUGUGAUUCAAUAAACAAAAUAUACAUUCCAUCAUUGCGCCUCAUAAAUGGAUGAAAUUUUCAGCUAUAUAUUCUACAUGCAUUGUUAUUGUAGUAAUAUGUGAAAGAUACAACACCAGGUUAAAGAGUUUUAGGCUGUCAAAGGCACUGUAAGGUCAUCUAUGCAGAACAACCUUCACUCUUUCCCUGUAGAUUAUUCUUCAAAACUCAGAAGGGAAGAAGAAAGGACUAUUCAUUGGACUAAUGCUUAAGGAUUUAUCUCCCCUACUGUCGCAUCACUUUUGAUCCUUUCUGCAAGCUUUACUCUCAUGCUUGAACAGCCGCUCUUGUUUCAAAAGCAAAUGUCCCAUCUCCCCGUCAAAUCUGGUCCCAAAUCUUAUGAGGAGCAGUGCAUGCUUUUCUUUCUUUUAUCUUCUCAAAAAAUGUGGUCCUAUGUAUUGCUGCAUGAUAUAUAAGUGCAUAUAUUUAUGCUAAGCAUGUUAUGGUUUCCAGUGAUCGUUUUCUACCUCUAAACACAUUGUUGUUCAUUAAGUAGGAUCACAGAGAAUUGAUGUGCUAGAGUUACACAUUGCUUCUGGCCAUUUGCCCUGUGUAAAGUAUCAAACAUGUUGCAUGCUAAGCACAACUAUUCAAGGUGAUGCAAGUUGAUGAAUGAUGGUAAUUAUGUUUCACCAGUAUUCAUAUUUUAUAUUGAGUUGCAUGGACGAGGAUUCACGCACCUAAGUACUUAGGUGUUGAAGUUUGAGCCUCUUUUAUGUGCUGUUAUAUCUGUCAUUUCCUGAGCAGUGACAAAAGUACUUCUGGUCCUAACAAAGUUGCUCACAUAAAGAUUUGGGAGUAAAGGGCAUAAGAUGCAUCAAAUCCCAUC